GACAGAAGAGAGUGAGCACA
rnacentral:miRNA from 1 species